UACGAAGGGGGCUAGCGCUGAUCGGAAUCACUGGGCGUAAAGCGCACGCAGGCGGAUCGAUAAGUCGGGGGUGAAAGCCCGGGGCUCAACCUCGGAAUUGCCUUCGAGACUGUCGGUCUCGAGUCCGGGAGAGGUGAGUGGAAUUCCUAGUGUAGAGGUGAAAUUCGUAGAUAUUAGGAAGAACGCCAGUGGCGAAGGCGGCUCACUGGCCCGGUACUGACGCUCAGGUGCGAAAGCGUGGGGAGCAAACAGG
rnacentral:rRNA from 1 species